rnacentral:rRNA from 1 species
GACGAACGCUGGCGGCAUGCCUAAUACAUGCAAGUCGAACGGAAAGGCCUGUACUUGUACAGGUACUCGAGUGGCGAACGGGUGAGUAACACGUGGGUGACCUGCCCUGCACUAUGGGAUAAGCUUGGGAAACUGGGUCUAAUACCAUAUAGGACCACUUCUUGGCUGUUGUGGUGGAAAGCUUUUGCGGUGUGGGAUGAGCCUGCGGCCUAUCAGCUUGUUGGUGGGGUAAUGGCCUACCAAGGCGGCAACGGGUAUCCGGCCUGAGAGGGGGGACGGGCACAUUGGGACUGAGAUACGGCCAAGACUCCUACGGGAGGCAGCAGUUGGGAAUAUUGCACAAUGGGCGCAAGCCUGAUGCAGCGACGCCGCGUGGGGGAUGACGGCCUUCGGGUUGUAAACUCCUUUCGCUAUCGACGAAGCCACCUUUGGUGGUGACGGUAGGUAGAUAAGAAGCACCGGCUAACUACGUGCCAGCAGCCGCCGUAA